rnacentral:snoRNA from 1 species
GUGCUGCGGCGCAACAGCUGCUGCUGCGCCGCAGCAGCUGCUGCUGCUGCUGCAGCACUGCAGCAGCCGCUGCUGCAGCACUGCAGCAGCUGCAGCUGCUGCUGCAGCUGCUGCUGCAGCU